GUUGCAACUCUACCUUUGCCAGUUGCAAGUCUGGAUGAGAAAAGAGGAGCACAAC
rnacentral:ribozyme from 2 species